GAAUAUAAAAUAAACUGCUACAGAAAAUGUGAACAUGGAAAGAGAUGUCUGGUUGCCUCCUCCAACAUCUGUUCCAUCUCUCCUCAUCAUGUGGCAACCACAGAAUCUGCAUGAGAUUGACCUCAUUCCUCCUCCAGCGUUGUCUCUCAAGUAAACAGAUCAGCUUGGUGCUCCUUUUGCUAUAUUGACUGACCCAGGGAUGGACAGCAACGUCCAAGCAACAUAACCAUUGAGUUCUGGGUGUUCCUCUGACCGAUGUCUGGCUCUGGUUGGCCAAGUCAGAUGAAAUGCAAAACUCCUCUUUAUGGUCAAGGCUAAGCUAAAGUGCCCUGUGUGGCGUACAGAUGUGUGGCCUAGAACCCCAGCUGCUAAGCGCUUCAGGAAGCAAGCCAUACUGAGGAUGAAGAUGCG
rnacentral:lncRNA from 1 species